rnacentral:rRNA from 1 species
UACGAAGGGGGCUAGCGUUGCUCGGAAUUACUGGGCGUAAAGGGCGCGUAGGCGGAUAGUUUAGUCAGAGGUGAAAGCCCAGGGCUCGACCUUGGAACCGCCUUUGAUACUGGCUAUCUUGAGUUCGGGAGAGGUGAGUGGAAUGCCGAGUGUAGAGGUGAAAUUCGUAGAUAUUCGGCGGAACACCAGUGGCGAAGGCGACUCACUGGCCCGAUACUGACGCUGAGGCGCGAAAGCGUGGGGAGCAAACAGG